UUUCCUACGGGGGGCUGCAGUGAGGAAUAUUGGUCAAUGGACGCAAGUCUGAACCAGCCAUGCCGCGUGAAGGAUGAAGGCCUUCUGGGUUGUAAACUUCUUUUAUUGGGGAAGAAAAUUACGGUUUCUACUGUAACCGACGGUACCCAAGGAAUAAGCACCGGCUAACUCCGUGCCAGCAGCCGCGGUAAUACGGAGGGUGCAAGCGUUAUCCGGAUUCACUGGGUUUAAAGGGUGUGUAGGCGGGCAUUUAAGUCAGUGGUGAAAUGUCCGAGCUCAACUCGGAAACUGCCAUUGAUACUAUUUGUCUUGAAUAUCGUUGAGGUUGGCGGAAUAUAUCAUGUAGCGGUGAAAUGCUUAGAUAUGAUAUAGAACACCGAUUGCGAAGGCAGCUAACUAAGCGAUGAUUGACGCUGAGGCACGAAAGCGUGGGGAUCAAACAGGAUUAGAUACCCGUGUAGUCAGC
rnacentral:rRNA from 1 species